rnacentral:rRNA from 1 species
UACAGAGGUCUCAACCGUUGUUCGGAUUCAUUGGGCGUAAAGGGCUCGUAGGCGGUCCAUCGCGUCGGGAGUGAAAAGCUGGGGCUUAACCCCAGUCCUGCUUCCGAUACGGGUGGACUAGAGGUAGGCAGGGGAGAACGGAAUUCCUGGUGUAGCGGUGAAAUGCGCAGAUAUCUGGAGGAACACCGGUGGCGAAGGCGACAUCCUGGACCGGUAUUGACGCUGAGGCGCGAAAGCCAGGGGAGCAAACGGG